GGUAUAGCUCAGGGGUAGAGUGCAUGCUUAGCAUGCAUGAGGUCCUGGGUUCAAUCCCCAGUACAUCCA
rnacentral:tRNA from 1 species